rnacentral:rRNA from 1 species
UGAUAUACGCUCGUCUCAAAGGUUAAGCCAUGCAUGUCUAAGUACAAGCUUCCUAGAAAGUGAAACCGCAUAAGGCUCAGUAUAACAGCUAUAAUUUACAAGAUCCUCAUCCAAACAGUUACUUGGAUAACUGUGGAAAAGCCAGAGCUAAUACAUGCAUUAUGCCGGGACUGUUGGCCUCCGGGUCGGCGGAACUGGUGCACUUAUUAGUUAAACCAAUCGCCUCCGGGCGCUUUGAGUUGAAAUCUGGAUAAGGAUGCCGAUCGUACGGUCGCUUGCGACUGACGACAGAUCUUUCAAAUGUCUGCCCUAUCAACUAUUGAUGGUAGUGUAGAGGACUACCAUGGUUGCGACGGGUAACGGGGAAUCAGGGUUCGAUUCCGGAGAGGGAGCCUGAGAAAUGGCUACCACAUCCAAGGAAGGCAGCAGGCGCGUAAAUUACCCAAUCCCGGCACGGGGAGGUAGUGACGAGAAAUAACAAUAUGGACCUCUCUAACGAUGGUCCAUAAUUGGAAAUGAGUUGAGCAUAAAUCCUUUUGCAAGGAUCAAGUGGAGGGCAAGUCUGGUGCCAGCAGCCGCGGUAAUUCCAGCUCCACUAGCGUAUAUUA